GGUGCUAUCGUCUAGUGGCCUAGGACGUCGGCCUCUCACGCCGAAAACCCGGGUUCGACUCCCGGUAGCACUACCA
rnacentral:tRNA from 1 species